AGUGACUGUUAUCUGCCAGCAGCAUUAGAAUGCUCUAAGAAUACUCUAAGAGGACUGUUGGACACAAUGGGUGGUGUCUUCUUGUGACUCACACCCGCUCGCCCUUCUCACUCAUUUCAUCUUCUUUCUGGACUCUGCACGUUAACUUCAGAGAGAAGACGGGAUCUGGGAGGAUGAGACCACAACCUGCCAAUACUGUUCCUGCUAGCUAAUGCAACAUUUGACAUGAAAAUUAUCCUACAUAAAAAAUAAUUUCUUCCCCCAUAAAAAAUUCAAGAAUGUUCAUAAUCCAGAGGGCAUGGGAGUUUCAAUCCUUAGCAAUUAGGAAGCCACAGUCAGUCCACUGGGCUUUUUCCAAGGACCCUUUUAACUACUUGAAAGUGACAGCUGAUUACCAAGUAACAGUGUGGCUCACCUAUAAAACCCUUCUAAAAUGUAUCGAUCCUCAAUUACAUAAGCAAGGCCAUUCUGAGAAGCCUUUUUAAUCAUGCAUAGCCCAUUACUCAUAGCUGAGACAUACACAGCCCAUUUCUUUAGCAUCUAAGUGGGCUUCUCUUAGUAAGUCUGAGCUUAGGGAAACAUAUUAACUACUCGAAGUGAAUUCUUCCUGAGAACCACAGUUGGGGUGGAGAGCACAUCACUUGUCUUGAAGGCUGCACUAGCUUCUCUGUGCUCAGAACAGCAGUAGGUACUACACUGUGAGCUGCUAGACCUUGCAAGCUGAGCUUACUUGAGACCUCACCCCAAAACAGUAAAACAGCUCUAGUGGCUUCCACUAAAGUCCCCUUGGAGGAGCCAGUGGAAUUCCCAUCAGAACCCCAGUGAAUUCUGCUGUUUUCUGAAGACAGGGUUUCAGGUAGAGCAGGCUGGUCUCAAAUUCCUUCUGUGGCUGAGGAUGAUGACCUUGAAGUUCUGAUCAUCCUGUCUCCACUUUCUAAGUACUGGAGUUACAGGAAAAGCAUCGACCCAGGACAACUUCUAAGUGAGACUGGAAAGCGUGCUUCUUACACUACUCUGAUUCAUCUAGUUGGUACCUGCCAGAGCAGUGUCUGUGCAGUUACCUGCAACUUAACACUGGGGGCAUUUCAGCUGGCUUGAAGACACCAAGCAAGUAUUGCAAACACCCCAGUGGCCUUUACUACAGCUGCCAUUCCCUACCUAUCCUCAGCUCUAGGGCUCCUGUCCUCUUCAUCUAAAAGACAAAUGACUAUAAGGCCUGAAAACUAGAAGGUCAUCACUUAUAGCAUUAGUGCCAUGGUUUGUGAGCAAUGACACACGGGCAGCAUUCUGAAGCUGCCGUAGGCUUGAGUGGCCAAAAGAAAAAAGUAGAAUGUGAGAUUUCAUUCCACCUGUGUGAUUCCAUACCCCAGUGUUGAGGACUCUAAGGAGGGAGGAAAAUGCUAGAUUUCAGCUUAAUUGAGCUGCUGACCACAGCAUCACUCUGUUCUCAGGAAACCACACGUUCUGGGAAGAGAAACGAACAGUUCAACCACAGUUAGCAUGACUAAGAAAACCAAAGUAAAAUAAAGGAGUGGGAAGUACAACAUCCUUUGAAAAUGGGAGCUGUGACUGAACUACUGUUGAAACAGCUUCUGUCUUAUUUCUGGAUAAUGCCCUAAGAUACAUUAUAGCACGACCCUAAGAUACAUUAUAGCUGGCUGUCUACAAACCAAGGAAACAGUGUACUUGCCAGUAAAGGUUUUCAUAACACAGCCCCAGCAUCAUCUGCUUCUCCCCUAAUCUUCAUGUAAAUGCUAUAAUAUAUGAAACCUACACAGAGGUUCUUUCUGUACCAGCCUGUGACCUCAAAAUGGGCUCUACAUAGGAAGCAAGUGAGGGGUAGUGCAUCUAGGUUCAUAUCUGACACAGGAAUAUCCUGGGGCAGUCUGUGGAGAACUUGACCAGGGGAACAGGGCAGUAGUAGCAAAGGCAGGGGGUUAUACAUUUCUAGGCCAGACAGGGCCACAUAGCAUGACCCUGUCUCAAAAAAGCAAACCAAACAACCAGAAAAUGAGUAUGGAGGUGAGCAAAUCAAAGCAAUGAACCAUCUUAUUUUUUUUUUACCUUCUGCUCUGAAGCUCUGUCUGUUUAACCCUCACUGUUUCCAUCUAAGCUGCCCCCUCGAAAGGCCAUGCUGCCAAUGACUUUGCAUUACACACAGGCAGUUCCCCUAAGGCUUGGUCGGCUGGUGAGUCAAAGUCAGAUGCAAACCGUCAGUUCUGGGAACAGUAUCUGUGGCUUCAAUCCAAGACGGUAGGCUGGCCACAAAGUAGGCCCCAGCCCAGGUCAACAAAGCUCUGAGACCAAAGGCCAGCUAGGUGGUCUGCAUGUGUUCCAUACACAUGUGCUUCUAGGCACACACACAGCUUACCGUUGUACAUACACUACAACAUGAAUUCACUACCACUUGAUAUCCCCAAAUCAAUCAGGUUUGUCUUCUGACAGUCUAGUGUUUGCUCAUGAGGCCAUGUUAUUACUAACUAUUGAUGAUAUCCCCAACCAUCAGAUGCAAGGUAUCCUGGGGCUCUCAGAGCCAGUGUG
rnacentral:lncRNA from 1 species